rnacentral:rRNA from 1 species
UACGUAUGUUCCGAGCGUUAUCCGGAUUUAUUGGGCGUAAAGCGAGCGCAGACGGUUGUUUAAGUCUGAUGUGAAAGCCCGCAGCUCAACUCAGGAAUGGCAUUGGAAACUGGAUGACUUGAGUGCAGUAGAGGAAAGUGGAACUCCAUGUGUAGCGGUGAAAUGCGUAGAUAUAUGGAAGAACACCAGUGGCGAAGGCGGCUUACUGGACUGUAACUGACGUUGAGGCUCGAAAGUGUGGGUAGCAAACAGG